rnacentral:rRNA from 1 species
GACGAACGCUGGCGGCGUGCUUAACACAUGCAAGUCGAACGGAAAGGCCCUGCUUUUGUGGGGUGCUCGAGUGGCGAACGGGUGAGUAACACGUGAGUAACCUGCCCUUGACUUUGGGAUAACUUCAGGAAACUGGGGCUAAUACCGGAUAGGAGCUCCUGCUGCAUGGUGGGGGUUGGAAAGUUUCGGCGGUUGGGGAUGGACUCGCGGCUUAUCAGCUUGUUGGUGGGGUAGUGGCUUACCAAGGCUUUGACGGGUAGCCGGCCUGAGAGGGUGACCGGCCACAUUGGGACUGAGAUACGGCCCAGACUCCUACGGGAGGCAGCAGUGGGGAAUAUUGCACAAUGGUCGGAAGCCUGAUGCAGCAACGCCGCGUGCGGGAUGACGGCCUUCGGGUUGUAAACCGCUUUCGCCUGUGACGAAGCGUGAGUGACGGUAAUGGGUAAAGAGGCACCGGCUAACUACG